rnacentral:lncRNA from 1 species
GUCAUCUAUCGACCAAAACACUAACUAAUAAACGCCAUAUUUUGUGUUUUAUGUUGCGCAGAGUCGUGAGCGCCGCCGCAUUCUGCCAAACAACAUGGCAGCGCGCAGAGCAGCUGUAGAGCAGCGGCGUGUUCGUGUGGUGGACGUUUUUUUUUUUCUGUUACACCGCAGCCGUCGCCGCUGCAUAGCGUAAUGGACGGUGCAGCAAAGUCCGGAGGUUACAGAAUUCAUUUGAAGAGCACACGAUGCUUACAUUUUGGCAGAAUAGCGAGCGGUAAGGCGGAUGCAACCGGGAUGCAGCGUUGAUCCAGGGGAAUCGAAAUUGUUUCGGCGUCGGCAUGUUUUCUUAAAGCAUUGCAGAGAUGAUCUGAAGUGUUUUAGCACGAAUGCCCAGCUUCAACAGCAGCAUCUUUCAACUGAGGUG